CCUACGGGUGGCAGCAGUGAGGAAUAUUGGUCAAUGGCCGCAGGGCUGAACCAGCCAAGUCGCGUGAGGGAUGACGGUCCUAUGGAUUGUAAACCUCUUUUGUCAGGGAGCAAAGGGCGCCACGUGUGGCGUUUUGCGAGUACCUGAAGAAAAAGCAUCGGCUAACUCCGUGCCAGCAGCCGCGGUAAUACGGAGGAUGCGAGCGUUAUCCGGAUUUAUUGGGUUUAAAGGGUGCGCAGGCGGAAUGUCAAGUCAGCGGUAAAAUUUCGGGGCUCAACCCCGUCGUGCCGUUGAAACUGGGUGCCUUGAGUGGGCGAGAAGUACGCGGAAUGCGUGGUGUAGCGGUGAAAUGCAUAGAUAUCACGCAGAACUCCGAUUGCGAAGGCAGCGUACCGGCGCCCAACUGACGCUGAAGCACGAAGGCGUGGGUAUCGAACAGGAUUAGAUACCCUGGUAGUC
rnacentral:rRNA from 1 species